rnacentral:hammerhead_ribozyme from 1 species
GCACUGCUGACGAGUCCCAAACAGGACGGAACACCUGUCCCGGUGC